rnacentral:tRNA from 1 species
GGAGUUGUAGCUCAGCUGGUCAGAGCGCCUCUCUUACACAGAGGAGGUCACAGGUUCGAUCCCUGUCAACUCCA